UUUUCUUUUUUAAAAAUGUGCUGGGAAGUGGAGGCAGGAAAUAUGGUAUGCAUAGUGGUAAAUAUCUGCCUUUAAAUAAAUACAGAAUCAUUUUAACAUUUAAGGUCAGAUCUAAAGAUGAUUCAAAAAUUCCUGGAGUGAGUAAAGAGCUAACAAAAUGUUUUCCCUUUCUAAAAUAGAAUUUGACCUUUGGUUAACUUUGCAGAUCUGUUCCCCUGGUAACUCUAGAAUGGUAUGUUGACCAUAUUAUCGGGCAACACUGCUUAUUGAAACAAUGACCCCUGACUGUGUGCUUACUUUGAUGAUGUAUUCCAGUUCUUAAUUUGGGUUAAUGAACUCCUAAAGAGGAAGUCUGGAAUUCCAAGAGGGAGUAGGAAAGAGGACCCAAAGGUAAUUGCUGACAACUCCCAAGAUCCCUCCAGAAACACAGAAGAGGUACUGCUCAACCUUUUUGAGGACCAUUUUCCUCAAAGAGCCCCAAGUAUUAUUAUAUGAUCUCUAUCACAAUGACUACUUUAACACUGUAGCAUGUAAGGAUCCACAGACAACAGGU